rnacentral:rRNA from 1 species
AUGUCGAAAGCCAAUUGGAAUUCACAAAUGACCGCCGUAUUUUGCAAACUCGCUGCCAUUGAGAAGUUAAAAGGGAAUAGGCCUCUCAAAUACUUGAAUGCUGCUGGAUACAAGAAUGUAGAAGUUGGUUUCUUAGAGCAGACCGGGAAACAUUACAGUAGGUUACAGUUAAAAAAUAAAUGGGGCAGUUUGAGAACUUUGCAUAGGGAUUGGUUGAUCCUUAAGAACACAGUAACUGGCCUUGGUUGGAAUGAUGUAACGAACUCCGUGAUAGCUGAUGAUGAAUGGUGGAAAAAAGCCGGUGAAGAGAAGGACUUCUUGCAGUUUCGUAAAUGUGGUCCUGAAAAUGGAGCAAAUGAGUAUCAUGUAUGA